GCCGUGAUAGUCUAGUGGUUAGGACAUUGCGUUGUGGCCCCAAGAACCCAGGUUCGAAUCCUGGUCACGGCA
rfam:Opisthorchis viverrini opera_v5_356.22, whole genome shotgun sequence.